CAAACCGGAGGAAGGUGGGGAGUGACGUCAAGUCCUCAUGGCCCUUAUGGGUAGGGCUUCACACGUCAUAUAAUGGUCGGUACAGAGGGUUGCCAAGCCGCGAGGUGGAGCCAAUCCUUUAAAGCCGAUCGUAGUCCGGAUCGUAGUCUGCAACUCGACUACGUGAAGUCGGAAUCGCUAGUAAUCGCAGAUCAGCAUGCUGCGGUGAAUACGUUCCCGGGUCUU
rnacentral:rRNA from 1 species